GUUUGGGUCAGUCAGUGUUUAGGUGUGGGUUUGUGUCAGUCAGUGGUUAGUUGUGGUGUGGGUCAGUCAGUGUUUAGGUAUGGAUGUGUGUCAGUCAGUGAUUAGGUGUGGGUUUGGUUCAGUCAGUGGUUAGUUGUGGUGUGGGUCAGUGAGUGUUUCGGUGUGGGUUUUUGUCAGUCAGUGGUUAGGUGUAGUGAGGGUCAGUCAGUGUUCAGGUGUGGUUUGGGUCAGUCAGUGAUUAGGUGUGGGUUUUUGUCAGUCAGAGGUUAGGUGUAGUGAGGGUCAGUCAGUGUUCAGGUGUGGUUUGGGUCAGUCAGUGUUUAGGUGUGGGUUUGUGUCAGUCAGAGGUUAGGUGUAGUGAGGGUCAGUCAGUGUUCAGGUGUGGUUUGGGUCAGUCAGUGUUUAGGUGUGGGUUUGGGUCAGUCAGUGUUCAGGUGUGGGAUUGGGUCAGUCACUGGUUAGGUGUGGGUGUGUGUCAGUCAGUGUUUAGGUGUGGUGUGGGUCAGUCAGUUUUUAGGUGUGGUGUUAGUCAGUCAGUGUUUAGGUGUGGGUUUGGGUCAGUCAGUGGUUAGGUGUGGGUGUGUGUCACUGUUUAGGUGUGGGUUUUGGUCAGUCAGUGGUUAGGUGUGGGUUUGGGUCAGUCAGUGUUUAGGUGUGGUGUUGGUCAGUCAGUGUUUAGGUGUGGGUUUGGGUCAGUCAGUGUUCAGGUGUGGGAUUGGGUCAGUCAGUGGUUAGGUGUGGGUGUGUGUCAGUCAGUGUUUAGGUGUGGUGUGAUUCAGUCAGUGUUUAGGUGUGGGUUUGGGUCAGGCAGUGGUUAGGUGUGGGUGUGUGUCAGUGUUUAUGUGUGGGUUUGGGUCAGUCCGUGGUUAGGUGUGGGUUUGGGUUAGUCAGUGUUUAGGUGUGGGUUUGGGUCAGUCAGUGUUUAGGUGUGGGUUUUGGUCAGUCAGUGGUUAGGUGUGGGUUUGGGUCAGUCAGUGGUUAGGUGUGGGUUUGGAUCAGUCAGUGGUUAGGUGUGGGUUUGGGUCAGUUAGUGUUUAGGUGUGUGUUUGCGUCAGUCAGUGUUUACGUGUGGGUUUGGGUCAGUCAGUGGUUAGGUGUGGGUUUGGGUCAGUUAGUGGUUAGGUGUGGGAUUCGGUCAGUCAGUGUUUAGGUGUGGUGUGGGUCAGUCAGUGGUUAGGUGUGGGUUUGGGUCAGUCAAUGUUUACGUGUGGGUUUGGGUCAGUCAGUGGUUAGGUGUGGGUUUGGGUCAGUCAGUGUUUAGGUGUGGGUGUGGGUCAGUCAGUGUUUAGGUGUGGGUUUGGAUCAGUCAGUGUUUAGGUGUGGGUGUGGGUUAGUCAGUGUUUAGGUGUGGGUUUGGAUCAGUCAGUGGUUAGGUGUGGGUUUGGAUCAGUCAGUGUUUAGGUGUGAUGUGGGUCAGUCAGUGUUUAGGUGUGGUGUGUGUCAGUCAGUGGUUAGGUGUGGGUUUGGAUCAGUCAGUAUUUAGGUGUGAUGUGGGUCAGUCAGUGUUUAGGUGUGGUGUGUGUCAGUCAGUGGUUAGGUGUGGGUGUGGGUCAGUCAGUGGUUUGGUGUGGGUGUGUGUCAGUCAGUGUUUAGGUGUGGGUGUGUGUCUGACACUGUUUAGGUGUGGGAUUGUGUCAGUCAGUGUUUAGUUAUCGGUGUGUGUCAGACACUGUUUAGGUGUGGGAUUGUGUCAGUCAGUGUUUAGGUGUGUGGGUCAGUCAGUGGUUAGGUGUA